CCCUUAGAUGUUCUGGGCUGCACGCGUGCUACACUGAUAUUGCCAAUAUGUCAUUCUUAUCCGAAAUGGAUUGGGUAAUCAAGUAAUGAAAUUUCAUGCUUGGAAUCGGUAAUUGCAAUUUUAUCGUGAACGAGGAAUUCCUAGUAAGCACUAGUCAUCAGCUAAUGUUGAUUAUGUCCCUGCCCUUUGUACACACCGCCCGUCGCUACUACUGAUUGGGUGUUCAAGUGAGAUGCUUAGACCCUUGUUGCAUGGUUCAUUAUUGUGCUCCGAAAGGAAAAAGUUUCAAGCUUGUGUGUCUAGAGGAAGUAAAAGGCGUAACA
rnacentral:rRNA from 1 species